rnacentral:misc_RNA from 1 species
AAAAAAAAAAAAAAAAAAAUCAGGUUGAUGUUUCCAUACUAUUUCCUUUUCAUGUACAAAGCAAAUCGAAUAAUUAAGCAAACAAUGGUAUUUACUCACAAUAAUUAUUUCCAAGAAAAAGUGAUAAUGCACGCAGCAAUCACAAUAACAGAUCAAUGAAGACCAAAUUCAAAAACAGAGAGACAAAUACAUUAACUAAAUCAACUGAUGACAGUUCAAACCAAUGCCAAUUCCAUCAACAACCGAAAACUAUGCCUAAAUCUACGAACCAUCACACAAACAAAUCGAAAUAGAACAGGGUAAUUUGAUCACCCAAAAAAAAAAAGCAGAAAUGGAAAUUAAACCUCAAAUGAAAUAAUGCGAAAAAAAAAAAAGUGAUUAUCA